ACCACGAAUCUCGAUCGCGAUCUCCACGAAUGCGCGACAGAAUUGAUGCGAAGAAUCGUUUCUCGUAUACGUUCAGUCGCUUUCCGCGGACUGAGAGCACGCCAGGCUCCCAUGCUUCGAUGUCCCGGAUAGACGCGGUUUGCCGAGGCCCCUCCGUCUUCCAACGUUCACGCGCCGAUCG